UACGUAGGGAGCAAGCGUUGUUCGGAUUUACUGGGCGUAAAGGGCGCGUAGGCGGCGCGGUAAGUCACUUGUGAAAUCUCUGAGCUAACUCAGAACGGCCAAGUGAUACUGCAGUGCUAGAGUGCAGAAGGGGCAAUCGGAAUUCUUGGUGUAGCGGUGAAAUGCGUAGAUAUCAAGAGGAACACCUGAGGUGAAGACGGGUUGCUAGGCUGACACUGACGCUGAGGCGCGAAAGCCAGGGGAGCAAACGGG
rnacentral:rRNA from 1 species